UGAUCCUGCNGGACCCCACUGCUAUCGGGAUAGGACUAAGACAUGCUAGUCGCGUGCUUCAGCCAAAACGAGGCACGGCAAACAGCUCAGUAACACGUGGCUAAUCUGCCCUUAGGACGCGAACAACCCCGGGAAACUGGGGCUAAUUCUCGAUAGGUGAAGAACUCUGGAAUGAGUCUUUGCCUAAAAGAGCUUACGUUAUGCUCGUAAGUUUCGCCUAAGGAUGAGGCCGCGACCGAUCAGGUUGUUGGUGAGGUAAUGGCUCACCAAGCCUUUUACCGGUGCGGGCCGUGAGAGCGGGAGCCCGGAGAUAGGCACUGAGACAAGGGCCCAGGCCCUACGGGGCGCAGCAGUCGCGAAAACUUUGCAAUACACGAAAGUGUGACAGGGCUAUCCCGAGUGCCAUCCGCUGAGGAAGGCUUUUACCCAGUCUAGAACGCUGGGGGAAUAAGGAGAGGGCAAGUCUGGUGUCAGCCGCCGCGGUAAUACCAGCUCUCCGAGUGGUGUGGAUGUUUAUUGGGCCUAAAGCAUCCGUAGCUGGCUAAGUAAGUCCCUUGUUAAAUCCACCGAAUUAAUCGUUGGAUUGCGGGGGAUACUGCUUGGCUAGGGGACGAGAGAGGCAGACGGUAUUUUCGGGGUAGGGGUGAAAUCCUAUAAUCCCGGGAAGACCACCAGUGGCGAAGGCUGUCUGCUAGAACGCGCCCGACGGUGAGGGAUGAAAGCUGGGGGAGCGAACCGGAUUAGAUACCCGGGUAGUCCCAGCUGUAAACGAUGCGCGUUAGGUGUAUCGGUGACUACGAGUUACCGAGGUGCCGAAGAGAAAUCGUGAAACGUGCCGCCUGGGAAGUACGGUCGCAAGGCUGAAACUUAAAGGAAUUGGCGG
rnacentral:rRNA from 1 species